GUUAAAAAGCUCGUAGUUGGAUUUUUAAGGAUGUCUGCUUCUAGUGACCUUUCGUGUCUCUAAGGUUGCAGACUCCCCUUAUUUUGCCUCAGUGCCUGGUUGGGAUUCGUUUCUCGAUCUGGCUUCAGGGGCGUGUUUACUUUGAGAAAAUUAGAGUGUUCAAAACAGUCUUGUGAUUGUAUAUCAUAGCAUGGAAUAAUAACUGAUGACGUCGGUCAUUUUUUGUUGGUUCGGAUGGCUGAAGUAAUGAUUGAUAGAGUUUGUCGGAGGUAUUAGUAUUUUAUCGUUAGCGGUGAAAUGCAUGGAUCGAUAAAAGACUAACAACUGCGAAAGCAUUUAUCUAGGAUUUGCUCUUUGAUCAAGAACGAAAGUUGGGGGAUCGAAGACGAUCAGAUACCGUCGUAGUCUCAACUAUAAACUAUACCAGCUAGGGAUUGGUAAGCGUUGCUUGACCUUGUCAGAACCUUAUGAGAAAUCAAAGCAUUUGGGUUCCGGGGGGAGUAUGGUCGCAAGGCUG
rnacentral:rRNA from 1 species